rnacentral:misc_RNA from 1 species
GAUGAAGAACGUAGCGAAAUGCGAUAAGUAAUGUGAAUUGCAGAAUUCAGUGAAUCAUCGAAUCUUUGAACGCAUCUUGCGCUCCUUGGUAUUCUGAGGAGCAUGCCUGUUUGAGUGUCAUUAAAUUCUCAACUACACUGACUUUGAAUUGGUGUGGCUUGGAUUUGGGGGGAAAAUUGUUGUGGGCUUUUUGUAUAGUCUGCUCCCCUGAAAUUGAUUAGCGGUACCUUUGUGGAAUUGUCUACAGGUGUGAUAAUUAUCUACAUCUUAGACAUCUGCUGGAAUGCUGCUUUCUAAACCUUACUUGUAUUGACAAUCUUGACCUCAAAUCAGGUAGGACUACCCGCUGAACUUAAGCAUAUCAAUAAGCGGAGGA